AGAGUUUGAUCCUGGCUCAGGAUGAACGCUGGCGGCGUGCCUAACACAUGCAAGUCGAACGAAGCUCCUGCGACAGAUUCCUUCGGGAUGAAGAUGCUUGAGACUUAGUGGCGGACGGGUGAGUAACGCGUGGGUAACCUGCCCUGUACUGGGGGACAACAGUUAGAAAUGACUGCUAAUACCGCAUAAGCCUACAGAGUCGCAUGACUCAGCAGGAAAAAUUCCGGUGGUACAGGAUGGGCCCGCGUCUGAUUAGCUAGUUGGUGAGGUAAUGGCUCACCAAGGCAACGAUCAGUAGCCGGCUUGAGAGAGUGAACGGCCACAUUGGACUGAGACACGGCCCAAACUCCUACGGAGCA
rnacentral:rRNA from 1 species